AACGAACGCUGGCGGCAUGCCUAACACAUGCAAGUCGAACGAGACCUUCGGGUCUAGUGGCGCACGGGUGCGUAACGCGUGGGAACCUGCCCUUAGGUUCGGAAUAACUCCCCGAAAGGGGUGCUAAUACCGGAUAAUGUCUUCGGACCAAAGAUUUAUCGCCUUUGGAUGGGCCCGCGUUGGAUUAGCUAGUUGGUAGGGUAAAAGCCUACCAAGGCGACGAUCCAUAGCUGGUUUGAGAGGAUGAUCAGCCACACUGGGACUGAGACACGGCCCAGACUCCUACGGGAGGCAGCAGUGGGGAAUAUUGGACAAUGGGCGAAAGCCUGAUCCAGCAAUGCCGCGUGAGUGAUGAAGGCCGUAGGGUUGUAAAGCUCUUUUACCCGGGAUGAUAAUGACAGUACCGGGAGAAUAAGCUCCGGCUAACUCCGUG
rnacentral:rRNA from 1 species